GGUAUUGUAAACCUCAUCGUGGUAGAGCCCAGCUCAAUCCCACCUACUGUGUCUGGGACGUCCGGUGCUGAGGAGGAACCUCGCAGUGAGACCAAAGGGGAAGAGCCAGCGCCCUCGAAUCUUUGCACGAUUGUUCUGGUGUUUGUGGGAGUGCUGGUGUUUGUGGGAGUGCUGCUAAUCUAGAA